UUUGAAGUAAAAUAAAUUCCAUUAUACUUUAUUUUGACUACAUGAUCAACACUUGUACAUAGUGCCAUUUACUUUGUGUUCUUCACUCUCGCGCUGUGUUGUGAUCGUUCGAAACUCAUCGCCAGAACGAAUACAAAUCUCAUUUGGGAAGGAUUGGUGCCGGUAGAUGCAGCGAAAAUUAUUAAAUGAUAAUAGAAAAGUGGUUAAGUAAAUCGUGAAGGAUGUCAACGCAGGCGUAAAUGCAGUAUGUUUUGUUACAUGAUCUACGGCUAUUUCAUUGCCAAAGCUCCUGAUAACAGAUCAAAGCAGAUGGAUCGGGCUUACAGAGUCGCCAUUUAACUUAAAAUAUCUUCGUGAUCGGAAAACGCAUCAAACAGCAAGUGUUUUUCUUCCAAUAGCACGCGCCAUCGGUGGAGCAAGCAGCCA